rnacentral:tRNA from 1 species
GUGGAGUUGUAGUUCUGUGGUAGAGUGCUUGCCUAGUGUGUGUGAGGCACUGGGUUCAAUCCUCAGCACCACA